CCUACGGGGGGCUGCAGUGGGGAAUAUUGGGCAAUGGGCGCAAGCCUGACCCAGCAACGCCGCGUGAAGGAAGAAGGCUUUCGGGUUGUACACUUCUUUUCUCCGGGACGAAGCAAGUGACGGUACCUAAUGAAUAAGCCACGGCUAACUACGUGCCAGCAGCCGCGGUAAUACGUAGGUGGCAAGCGUUAUCCGGAUUUAGUGGGUGUAAAGGGCGUGUAGGCGGGAGCGCAAGUCAGAUGUGAAAACGCAGGGCUCAACCCUGGGCCUGCAUUUGAAACUGUGCUUCUUGAGUGAUGGAGAGGCAAGCGGAAUUCCGUGUGUAGCGGUGAAAUGCGUAGAUAUACGGAGGAACACCAGUGGCGAAGGCGGAUUGCUGGACAUUAACUGACGCUGAGGCGCGAAAGCGUGGGGAGCAAACAGGAUGAGAUACCCGGGUAGUC
rnacentral:rRNA from 1 species